CCCCAGCCUCGCUGCUGCCUUGCAGUUUGAUCUCAGACUGCUGUGCUAGCAAUCAGUGAGACUCCGUGCUGUGCUAGCAAUCAGUGAGACUCCGUGGGCGUAGGACCCUCCGAGCCAGCAAAAGAUGAUCAAGAGGAGCAUGAAAAAAUCCCCUGAAUCCAUUGGCUUUCUUCCCUAUACUGACAACAGUUUACUUGUGUAAGGUAAUUCUAGAUGCAUGCCUCGACUCCGGACCCCUUCUUUCAUCUGCAAAAUCAGCAGCACCCUCACAUCAUCUCCUGUAACAAACUCUCUCUGUCUCCUCCAUAUAAGGUCACUGAUGGUUACAUUUAGGGUCCAUGAUAUAAGGUAAGAUAAUUGCCCCUCCUCAAGAUCCUUAAUUA
rnacentral:lncRNA from 10 species